rnacentral:rRNA from 1 species
UACAGAGGUCUCAAGCGUUGUUCGGAUUCAUUGGGCGUAAAGGGUGCGUAGGCGGCGCGGUAAGUCGGGUGUGAAAUCUUGGAGCUUAACUCCGAAACUGCAUUCGAUACUGAGAGUCUCGAGUCCGGGAGAGGUGAGUGGAACUGCGAGUGUAGAGGUGAAAUUCGUAGAUAUUCGCAAGAACACCAGUGGCGAAGGCGGCUCACUGGCCCGGUACUGACGCUGAGGUGCGAAAGCGUGGGGAGCAAACAGGG